GUCCACGCCCUAAACGAUGUCAACUGGUUGUCGGGGAAGUUUUUCCUUGGUAACGAAGCUAACGCGUGAAGUUGACCGCCUGGGGAGUACGGCCGCAAGGUUAAACUCAAAGGAAUUGACGGGGACCCGCACAAGCGGUGGAUUAUGUGGAUUAAUUCGAUGCAACGCGAAAACCUUACCUACCCUUGACAUGUGCGGAAUGGGGGUAGAGAUACCUCGGUGCCCCGAAAGGGAACCGCAACACAGGUGCUGCAUGGCUGUCGU
rnacentral:rRNA from 1 species